rnacentral:lncRNA from 1 species
UGCCGCUCCCCUCAGUGUUCUCUCACUUGAAAUCGUAUCAGUGACAGUAUAGCCUGCCCAAACAGCUUCUGGGUGUGCUCCUGGCCCAAGGGUAGGAAAGGGAUCAAGAACUUCCAACUCAACCCAGAAAUGUGCAAUCCAUUAAGGUUGCUUUGCCAUCCUUGCCCUUUGCUAAGACAACAAGUCUUGCCAGGAAAGUAGCACUUACCAGCUCCCCAAGCACACGUGACCUCAGGGGUUCACAUGCCCACUUGAGAGAGCAGAACCCACUUAGCCCAUGAACUGUAGUGAGAGCAUCACUCCCCACCCAGAAUCACAGGUGACCCCAUUUCACAUGUCUCUGAGACCAGCUCUUGACAGUCCUCUUUCUAGGUAUCAAUCAAUUGUUUCAUGUUUCUACAUGUUACAUAAACUUUCCACUGUUCAGAGAUGACUCUCCUGGCGACAGGAAUUUUCCAGAUGGAGGAUGGCAAGCCAAGAUCUCACCCCUUUCUUUUCUAAGCACAGUGUGUGAAGCGUCUUCUCUAGAAGAAACUAGUACAGCCAGGUCAUCGUCACUCCAUGUAAGAUGGUAAUUGCAGCAGUCAGUGCUCAGCUUGACGUUCUGACACAGGACUAAGUGGGCUGAGCUCAACAUGUGAUCUAGAAAACAAUCGAAAAGCUAACAUCAAGGACUGGGAGUUCUGCUGAGGAAAUGAGUUCCUGUCCCAGAACUCAUGCUUUGUUUUGUGAAGAUGGAAAAACAUCUGUACGGUGCUACACUCUGUGGGAAAACCAGCGCUCGGGAAAACGGGCACAGAGGGAUCCCUGGGGCUCACUGCUCAGCCAAACUAGCAUAUUUGGCAAACUUCAGGCCAGUAAGUGAGCCACCAACAAAAGGUAUGCAGAGAGCACUUAAAGAAGACCCCUGACAUGAGCACACAUGUGCUGCUUCAUCACACAUGUGUGUGCAAACACACGUAUACACUUUUAAAAAAAAUGAUGUCAAAAAACAAUUCCUAGGAAUUUGUCAAUGAUAGGUUUAGAAAUCAAAUAGAUAGCUUUCAUCCACGCAUAGUACCUACUAUUUCUCCUUGUAAAUCAAUAUUCCUCCCUGGCUCCCUGGCUCCCUGGCUCCCUGACUCCCUGGCCUCCUGGGUCCCUGGGUCCCUGGUUCCCUGGCUCCCUGGCUCCCUGGCUCCCUGGCUCCCUGGCUCCCUGGCUCCCUGGCUCCCUGGCUCCCUGCCUCCCUGCCUCCCUGCCUCCUUGCCUCCCUGCCUCCCUGCCUCCCUGCCUCCCUGCCUCCCUGGUUCCCUGCCUCUCUGCCUCCCUACAUUUUUUUCCUCCCUGCCUCUCAUGGAAGUAGCUUUCCACAAUUGCUCCACAUCUGUUGGGAGCCAACUCCUAGCAGAAAGCAGCUAUCAUCUCUGCAGCCAUCUCAGGCUAUUUACUUACAGGUGGUACUUUUCCACCCUGAUGAGAGACUUGUUUUCCUAGCAUGAUGUUUUUGAAAGAAGCCCACCACAGCUGAAAAUACUCUGAUAACAUCUUGUUUUUCUCCUAUACACCCUGGACUGUGGUUAAGUGUCUCCAACUGCACUCCCCAGCUUGUGCUUAUAUACUCAUAGUUGCCUUCCAAUAAAUGAGACUCAAGACUUGAGACUUGAUCACAUAGCCUGUCUUGUCUCCAUUCUUCACGUCUCUUGUCCCUCCAUCCUCAUUCUUUCUCUUGCAGACCCUGUUGACUGACCCACGGACCAGGUCACACAUCCCCAGUGAAUAGACACCCUUUACCUUCCCUAUCUAGGAAGGAAUCUUUUCACUAAUGGCUUUUUAGUUUGACUAUCUAGGAUGACUCUCGUGUCCUCUCAGAAAUCCCUGCAAAAGCUUUCUGUUAAUGAAAAUAUUGUGUGAGUAUACACACAGGUGCAUGCUAGGAUUAUGACCAUCCUAAGAGAGAUGGGAAAGGGGCGGGAUGGAGGGAGGAUUCUACUAUAUACCUGUAUACCAUGAAGUGAAAUUCAGAGCAUGAAUUUCACUCUCAGGUGUCAUGUCAGUCCUUGGUCUCUGCAGGUGGGUUGCCCAGGUCACUGCUUGGCUCUACUGCCAUCUUCCCAGUUUCCCCAUAAUCGCUCUCCUCUUUCUCCCUCAGGCCAGCCCUGCUCCCACACUGCAGCCUCCAGUGUGGCCAGGACCACGGCUCAAUGAGAAGGCUCUUUGCUCCCUGACACUUGAAAUCUCUCUCGAUAGCGGGAGAUAAGCAUCCACUUGAGAGAGAAAUCAUAGUUCAAGUAAGACCGAGCAAGUGACAUGAGCUGUUUUGUUCUAGGGAAAGAGAGACAACAUCAUAUUGAGAGAUUCUGCCCUCGGAUAUGUGGAAGCAACUCUAUCAUAGUAUAUCGUUCUCUUAACUACACAGGCAUGACAAAGCUUCAGUCUAAUGAAGGAGGCUGCGUAGACAACUAUCUUGAAGUUGUGCCCUGGUAACCACUGAUUUUGGACAUUGUUGCAGCAGGCUAUACUGACUCUCUGGCUUCCUCUAUGAGAGAAUAAUACUCAUACAAAACAUCCACUGAGUUCUCUCUUUCCCUGCUUGGCAGAGGGUGGCUGGAAGAGUAAGUGUCUCUCCCAGGCGAUAUUCCUGGAGUCGCCCCUGGGCCACAUUGCAGGGCUAAUGACUUUGCAAACCCCAUCCCACUAUUGUGGACUCUGGGCACUGGAAAGUAGCCAAAGUCCUGAUGGUACACUAUGAGGUUUCCCACCAGCCAGCAGCAAAGUGCACAGGAAGGCUUGAGGGGCAAAUCCAUAGCUCUCAGAAUGUUACAGUCCAUAACAGGAGCCCAGGCUUCCAUGCCCUGCAUGGGAAGGACUGGAACUUUCCACUCCAUGACAGAGUAAUAUGGCCGGACUCAGAGGCUGUAACCAAUUGCUUGUUGCACAAUCAAGAUUGCUUUGUGCUUUCAGAAAGGAAGGCUGGUGCUUUCCCAGGGUCUGAUAGGCUAGGGUAUUUGGCUUCAAGGUGAUAGGUAGACCUCCUUCUCAUACCAAUCCACCCUGUGGUCUACUGUUUUCCUUCUGAGAGACAAGUUGCAUAAACCCAGCUUCCCAGAUGGCCCCGUGUGAGUUAGGUAACAACCGUGUCUUGUCAGUCAAAACAAACUAUCAUGAAGAGUGCUGGGCUAGCAGGCCAACUCUAAUUGUUGCUCUUGGGAGGAGGCUCAUCAGGAACGUUGAGAAUUGUGUUGCAAGAGGCCGUGUUUAUCAAACUGCAGCUUGUCCCAUGCACCCUCUCCCUUUAGCUUUGGAAAUCAAAGAGCAUUAUGGGGCGUGUGUUUACUGGAGGGUGGCUUUUCCCAGCAGCAUGGUCUAAUGCCUUGCAGUUCAGUCUUAGUUGAACAGAUGCAUUUUGGCAGUGGAAACUGGUGUGUGUGUAUGCAUGUGUGUAUGCAUGUGUGUGCGUGUGUGGUGUGUGUGUGUGUGUGUGUGUAUGUACACAUGCACAUGUGUGCAUACUUGCUUACAGGUGCACAUAUACCGCAACAUGCACUUGGAGGUCAGAACACAACCCUCGAUCUUAUUUCAGAUGGGACCUCUUGUUUUGCCUCCACUGCUGACAUGGGGCAGCUAGCCUGUGGUUUCCAGGGAUUCACCAGUCUCUCCCAUCUAGCUCUAGGGAUACUAGGGGGUCCAUAUCCAGGCUAUUGUACUAUGUUUACAUGAGCUCUAGGGGCUCACACCUAAUGUUCUCAUGCUCACGUGGCAAACACCUUUACACACUGAGCCAUCGCCCUAGGCACUCCAUUUGAGCUACCUUUUGGAAAACAAUUAUCAAUAACAACAGAAUUCAGUCCAGUUAUGGACAGAACAACAGACUGCAGAGACUGGAGGUUUGGGCUGGCCCAUGUGGCCAUGGCUGGGCACGUGUGGAUACUGAGCACUAGCAAAGUGGCUGAUCAGAAUGGAAUUGGGAAAACCCAUUGGUGAAGAAAACUGCAGGAAGCUGGGAAGACUUGUAUGAAAAGCGGAAUUAUAAACCAAUCAUUUCGGCCUGGGCAGGUGGCUUAGUGGUUAAGAGUAGUACUUGGUGUUCAUGAAGAGGAAUUAAGUUUGGUUCCCAGCACCCAUGUCAAGCAGCUCAACAGCACCUGUAACACCAGGAUAUAACGCUUUCUUCUGGCCACCAAAGGUGCUACACUUGUGCCACAGAUACAUACAAUUAAAGAUUACACUAUUAAAAUUAAAACAAUAAAAUCUUAGAAGUGGAAAUAGUCAUCCUUUUAAAGAUGGAUUCUAAGUCGAGGUGAUAUCUGGAGUACAUUGGUUGAACUGCUUUUAUUAUAAACGUUAAUUCUGCCCAUUUCUUUCUUUCUUUCUUUCUUUCUUUCUUUAUUUAUUUCUUUUUUUAAAAAUAAUUUUCUUUAACAAGCCUUCCUGAAGAAGGCACAGUUACAGGGGUGAGGUGUGUUCUGUUUCUACUAACAUGGUCUUUGAUGAAGCAGUGGAGAGCUAAGGAUGAAAGCUUUGUUCUCCUGCUUAGACCCGACACCUCCUUCUGGGCAUCUGCUUCUUACACCGGUCCUGUAAUCUGUACCCACCUGGACCUGGGAACCCACAGUGUGUAGUAUCAUCAUUGCCUGCUUACAGUUCUUGACUACCUCUGCCCCCUUGGCGGUUGUCUCCUUUCCCUCCCAGCCACCUUUACAGUGAGAUCAGUGUUCUGGCUCUGUGCUUCCAUAAGCCACUUUUGGUGCUAGUAGUCAGAAAUAUUAUAAGAAUGUGUUUUUGUUUUAAUCAUAGGUGUAGGAUAUGGGGCUUCAGAUUGUCCACAGCAGCUGACUGUGGUUUGCCUCGUACUCUUAACAGGGCUAUGAUUUUG